UUAUUAUUUGAUGAGGGGGGCGUCUGGUUUUAGGAGAAACCAUUAAUGAGACACUGGAGGGUGGUGGUGGGGGGAGUUUAGUUUGUCUGCAUUUGUGCAGAUUUGUCUGCAUUUCGGCCAUUUGCAUAGAACGGCGAGGGUGCCCAUAUGCUGCGCGGCGAGGCAAAUUCAGUCACAGUCUUUUGAAGGUCUCCCUCGCAUGAUCACACGAGAGAAGAGAGUGUUGCGCCCGUCCGUGUUUGGCGGUCACAUUAUUUGUGGGAGAGCAGCAGACGCGCGCUCAGAGCCCGUUUCUCACAAAAAACACGUAAACACCCCUACUACACAGGAGCCUCGUGUUCGUUGCAUCACCGUUUCUGUCCAGCCAAUGUGGAGCUGCUUUCAGCCAAUGACAAACGGCAAAGAGUCAGGAAGAGGAAAGAAAGGCGAGGCGAGUCAUGAGUUUACCCUUGAUGUGCUGGAGAAGAGGGAACAAGCAAAACAGAGGGAUGCAGAGGAUAGUGGGAAGGGGAAUGGCGACACGAGACCAGCGCUUUGCAAGAUAGCGGACCGAGUUUUAUGGUGAAAGAAUACAGACGUUUAUUAGAAAUAUACAUGAUCGCCGUGCUGUGCUGAAUCAAAGGGUUUUUUGUGUGUGUGCCAGUCAGACUGAUCAAUUUGAGAGGGAAGAAGGGAAAAGGAAAGCUCGCCACCCCCCCAUAGUAUGCACUGAGCUGUGAAGACAGUGCAUGAGGCCCACAAAUGUCAGACAGUCAGACACAGAUACAAUACUGAUCUCCAUAAUUACCUGUAUGAAUACAGCCGUGUUUAAAGUGUGAUUGUCCUCCGUGCAGGAGGUCUGAGCUCGGAGCGUGGGAAUCUAGCGAGCAGAUAUGCAGAACAGUCGGCUGCCGGCGAGACAGCCUCGGCAGCAUGAAUGCUGUCGUAGCAGGUGAAAGAGGACCCUAGAGUUCAUGGGUCAAGGCCAGUGAAGGGGUUGUCUGGUUCAUGACUCUGUGUGUGUGUGUGUGUGUGUAGGGCCUCUCUGGUUGUUGUCUGGGUCUUGCAAGAUGCAAAUGAAGUUUUGAGACUGUUUGAUAAGCACUGCCGUCUAUUAUUAGCUCAGUGUGGUUGUUCAGAGAGGACUGGGCGUAGACUUGGACAAGCGCUCCUUCAUCAUCUUGUAGUCACAGCAGAGUAGCAGACAGGCAGAUAGACAGGCCGCCUAAAGUCAGACCUCCCCUGCUGAAAGUGUGAUUGUGUUGUCUGGAAGCCUUUUCUCUCCACAUCUCUGCUCUCUGGGACAUUUCUUCUCUGAGUGACAUGUUGGUCUCAGGCUCUCCAGUGUGGUGCCUGUCUUUGUUUCUUGCUGACUGACUGCAGCUUUGUACCAAGACUCCACAUUUCCAUGAUGGAGGAAAUCCAGAGUCCUCUGGUUCAGACCGUUUAUUCACAUGCCAGGAAUUUCUUUCUUCAUUAUUGUCCAAAACUAUGAAAAAAAAAUGUUGUGAAAUGUUUUCUGAUUUAAAAGAACAUCUACAAUGUCCAUGUUAAAAAUGAGUAUUAAUCCAGAUCUGAUUAGUCCCCUAAAAAACUGUAUUUACUGUUGUUAGAUUAACACUUGCCAAAAACCAGUGACCAGCUGAUGAUGAAAACUGCAACUAUAUACAGAUCAUUAAGUACACCUGUUCAGCUGCUCAAAUAAUCAACAAUAAUCAAAUCAGCCAAUCAUAUGGCAGCAACUUGGUCCAUUUAGGAAUUUCGAUGUAGUCAAGACAAGCUGUAGAAGUUUAAACCGAACAUCAGAAUGGGGGAGAUGCUUGUUGGUGCCAGACAGCCUGCUCUGAGUAUUUCAGAAACUGUUGAUCUACUGGGAUUUUCCCACACAGCCAUCUCUAGGGUUUACAGAGAAUGGUCUGACAAAGAGAAAUAUCAAGUGAGCUGCAGUUCUCUGGGUGAAAUGCCUUGUUUAUGCCAGAUGUCAUACUGCUCUGAGCUGAUAGGAAGGCAAGAGUAAGUUAGUAACUUUUUACAACCUUGCAUAUCUUGUCUGAUGAGUCUCUCUAUUUUUGCCAUGACAUUCGGAUGGUAGAGUCAGAAUUUGGUGUAAACCACAAGCAUGGAUCAUGUGAUAGUCUAGGGGAUAUUUCCAUGGCACACCCUUUAACCUGACUGUUUCCAGCAGGAUAACGCAUCAUGUCACAAAACUAAAUCAUCUCAAUCUGGUUUCUUGAACAUAAUGAGUUCACUGCACUCAGAUGGCCUCCACAGUCAACAGAUCUCAAUCUAAUAGUUUGAUGCUAUUAUGUAAAUAUAGAUCAACAUAUCUCAGGAAUAUUUCCAGCACCUUGUUGAAUCUAUGCCACCCAGAGUGAUGGCAGUUCUGAAGGAAAAAGACAACCCUCUACUAGCAAGGUGCACCUAACAAAGUGGCCGGUGAAGGUAGAUGUGAAUUUAUAAAAAUGAACAUCUUCAUUAAGAACUAAUUGUGCUAAACCCUCUCAGCCUGGUCCUGUGCAAGCUCAUAGGAGCACAUAUCUUGGCGUGAUGCGUUCGUUGUGCGACUAAAGGUGCGUUACUUACGGUAUCCCUUUAAGAGAGACAGCAUUACCUCAUCAGGAGAUGUGUAAAGGAAGGAAGUGAGUGAAUGGGUGUAGGAGCGCAAUGCUAACUCUCUCCAUUCCUUUAUGUUUGGGGAUCCAGGCUUCAUUAGCUCUACAGAAAGGGACAGCUCCCUCCCAGUCCCCUCAAUAGACCCAUAGACCUGUCUCUGGCAGAGGCUCUGGCUCAGUGGGGAGUGUGUGUGUGUGUGUGUGUGUUUGCAUGUGCUUUUCUGAUCCAUUGACACACCACUCAUAGUUUCUCACUCAUGCCCAAAGGAAGCCUGGCAUGGACACUUUUAGACUCUCUCGCUCUCUCUUUGUCCCUCACUCUUGUUCUCCCUCACAUUAUUGUCUGCUUCACAAAUUUUUUUUUUUACUCCUCUCACAGAACUGGACAUUCAGUGAAGAGCCAUAUGCUGUACAGGAUACAGACUGUUUUAUUUGUCACAUUUUCACUUGAAUCAGUUAGUGUUAAUCUUUUUUUCAAUACUUAUAUACAUAUUUCUGAUUUUGCAUGAAGCUUCUACCUUAAAAAAGGGGCGAGAAUAUUUAAAGUUUUACAUAUUAAUGUCUGCAUUAAUCAGUCCUUUAUCUUCUUUCAUUUUUAUGCUAAAAUCAUUCAUUACUUUUAUUGACAGUAUUGGGAUUCUGUUUGAAAGUAUUCUUCCAUGUACUUGCAUGUUCUGUGGAGGGGGUCUGACCAUAACAGUGGUCUCUGUCUGGUUAAGGCUUAGGCUUAAACACCCUCAACCAUGUGACAUAUAUUUUCCCCAUGUUUCUUCUCCCUUAUUUUCCUCUAUAUUAACAGCAGCCACAAAAAUCUACCUUAAAAAACGAUAUCUCUGUAUCCGACUAAAUUUAAUUCUAAUUAGAGUAGCUUACCUUGUCACACUGCUUUAUACUAUCAGCUGGGUCAAGCACACUGACGAAUGUGAUGCAGUUUGUAAAAAAGCAUGAAUAAAAAUCUAGAAACACAGAAAUGCAGUGAUUUCCCUCUACAGUUAGCAUUGCAAGUCUUUUUUUCCCCAUCCGGCAAUGUGUGCAGGCAGCUAUUCGGGGUCCUCGCCUAGUGAGAGCCAGGAGACAUAUUGACGGCGCAGGAGAAAAAUCUGCUUGCGUUUGGCUCAAAGACCAGGCCUGUUCAUCUGUUGUUUUUCUGGUGUAUAACAAAACCUCAGAAACAAAGAUUUUGUUGUAAUAUGGGUUAACAUUGAUAUUUUAAAAACACCAAAAAAAAAAUGUUAUUUCAUUGUCUCUUAAGAUGUACUUUAUUGCCAACAAGCAUCUGGGGUUGAAUAAAGAAAUGUAUUUAAAGCUUUUAAAUAUAUAUUGUUUAUUGAGAGCCUUGUGUUUUGUUUGCUGUCCACUGCUGUAUUUGAUGCUCGUCAUUCGGCAAGAGUAUAGAGAAAAAUUUGAACUAAUUUUUUUAAUAAAAAGUCAGAUUGAUCACACCGCACUUUUAUUUUUGUGCCAGUUUUACAAUAAAGACUUUGUGUCUAAUGUAUAUAUAUGUGUGUGUAUAAACGCGCGGUCAAUAAAGUAACAUUAAUUUGAACCUCCUAUUUCCAGCUUUUUUUUUUUAUUACUUAGUUUUCAUUCUAAAUGCACAUUUCCCUAAAAUAUCUAAUAAGUCUAAUUUGGGCAUGAAGCUGUCACAUAUUUUUAUAAAGACCAAAAAAUGAUGGUGAAACUGAUUUUUUAACAUUCAGUUUAUUUUCUCACAUUUAUUUCAUUCAUUAUCGUAAGUCUAGCGCACUUAUAGCUAUUUACAAAACAAUACUACCUCCAGUGUCUUGUUACAUAAAGAAAUAUGCAAUAGAGAAAACUCACACAAUAACAUUUUCACUACAGUUAUUCUGACUUUUUGACAAACGUGGAAGUUUUUUUUGUUUGUUUGUUUUUUUAUUUGAUUUGUCUCAAUUUGCUGGUUUAGUGCAGAGGAAUAAACAGAAAUAUUAAAUCUUUUUGUUUUUACUUUUUAAAAAUUAUUUUUGUGUAGGCCCACACAUGCUAUUUGCCAUAAAAGACUGGUCUGUUUGUGCCUUUUUAAAUCAAACAGUGAAUGUAGAAUUUCUUUUCUUCUAGCUCAGCAAAAUUAGGCCCACACCAAACUGUGCUCAGACUCAGAGUGUAGUAGGUCAGGAAGAUUGGAAUAUUUGCAUUUUAAACAAACUGGCUUUUUGAAGCAUUUAAACAAAAAGGGGGGGAAAAGAUCGGGUUUUGAAGUUUUUAGCUACAUAUCUUUGACGUGGUUAAAAAACAAAAAUGCUCGCUAUACUGUCUACAGCACAGUUUUAAUAUUACUAACCAGAAAAGCAGGUGUAUUUGUAAAUCAAACACAAGGAGCUUAAUGGUAUAUUAU
ensembl:lncRNA